AUUGAACGCUGGCGGCAGGCCUAACACAUGCAAGUCGAGCGAGCGGCGGACGGGUGAGUAAUGUAUGGGGACUGCCCGAUAGAGGGGGAUAACUACUGGAAACGGUGGCUAAUACCGCAUACUAUCGGAUAACCCAUAUGGGAUUAGCUAGUAGGUGGGGUAAAGGCUCACCUAGGCGACGAUCUCUAGCUGGUCUGAGAGGAUGGUCAGCCCAACGUGGAAUGAGACCCGGCCCAGACUCCUACGGAGGGAGCAGUGGGGAAAAUUGGACAAUGGGCGCAAGCCUGAUGACGCCAUGCCGCGUGUAUGAAGAAGGCCUUAGGGUUGUAAAGUACUUUCAGCGGGGAGGCGUUACCCGCAGAAGAAGCACCGGCUAACUCCGUGCCAGCAGCCGCGGUAAUUC
rnacentral:rRNA from 1 species